UUUGGAAGCAGAACAUGGUCCAAUCCAAGAAAUUGGUUUCGAAGGCAGAACAAUUUGGAACAACAAAUUACGGUUCCUGCCUUACCACAGCUUCUUCCCGUGGAACAGAUUGGUGAUGGACCACACGUAUUUCCAAACCUGGGAUUUAUAUAUGUUCCAAACGAGCAUCUUAUUAUCACCAGGAGGACUGCUAUUCAAUUGUCGAGAAGACAGGCGAGAAGGGUUCAUUUUUCGAAUUUUAAUCUGCUUUUACAGUGGAUAAAAAUGAAAAUAUGGAAACUAGGGAGGAAAAUGCGACAAUUUAAGGAUUUGGUGUUCAAUUGUUUAUGUAACAUAUUUUAUUAUGUGGUUAUUAUUAUAACCAUGUAUUUAAUUGUUAUAUUUAAUUAAUUAUUUAAUUUUGUUUUUAUAUU